AGCACCUUCGGGUGUGACUGCGUACCUUUUGUAUAAUGGGUCAGCGACUUAUAUUCUGUAGCAAGGUUAACCGUAUAGGGGAGCCGAAGGGAAACCGAGUCUUAACCGGGCGUUAAGUUGCAGGGUAUAGACCCGAAACCCGGUGAUCUAGCCAUGGGCAGGUUGAAGGUUGGGUAACACUAACUGGAGGACCGAACCGACUAAUGUUGAAAAAUUAGCGGAUGACCUGUGGCUGGGGGUGAAAGGCCAAUCAAACCGGGAGAUAGCUGGUUCUCCCCGAAAGCUAUUUAGGUAGCGCCUCGUGAAUUCAUCUCCGGGGGUAGAGCACUGUUUCGGCUAGGGGGCCAUCCCGGCUUACCAACCCGAUGCAAACUGCGAAUACCGGAGAAUGUUAUCACGGGAGACACACGGCGGGUGCUAACGUCCGUCGUGAAGAGGGAAACAACCCAGACCGCCAGCUAAGGUCCCAAAGUCAUGGUUAAGUGGGAAACGAUGUGGGAAGGCCCAGACAGCCAGGAUGUUGGCUUAGAAGCAGCCAUCAUUUAAAGAAAGCGUAAUAGCUCACUGGUCGAGUCGGCCUGCGCGGAAGAUGUAACGGGGCUAAACCAU
rnacentral:rRNA from 1 species